rnacentral:rRNA from 1 species
UGCAAGUCGAGCGGGCACUUUCGGGUGUCAGCGGCGGACGGGUGAGUAACGCGUGGGAACGUGCCCUCUGGUUCGGAAUAACUCAGGGAAACUUGAGCUAAUACCGGAUACGCCCUUUUGGGGAAAGGCUUGCUGCCGGAGGAUCGGCCCGCGUCUGAUUAGCUAGUUGGUGAGGUAACGGCUCACCAAGGCGACGAUCAGUAGCUGGUCUGAGAGGAUGAUCAGCCACACUGGGACUGAGACACGGCCCAGACUCCUACGGGAGGCAGCAGUGGGGGAUAUUGGACAAUGGGCGCAAGCCUGAUCCAGCCAUGCCGCGUGAGUGAUGAAGGCCUUAGGGUUGUAAAGCUCUUUUAUCCGGGACGAUAAUGACGGUACCGGAGGAAUAAGCCCCGGCUAACUUCGUGCCAGCAGCCGCGGUAAUACGAAGGGGGCUAGCGUUGCUCGGAAUCACUGGGCGUAAAGGGCGCGUAGGCGGCGUUUUAAGUCGGGGGUGAAAGCCUGUGGCUCAACCACAGAAUGGCCUUCGAUACUGGGACGCUUGAGUAUGGUAGAGGUUGGUGGAACUGCGAGUGUAGAGGUGAAAUUCGUAGAUAUUCGCAAGAACACCGGUGGCGAAGGCGGCCAACUGG